rnacentral:rRNA from 1 species
CAGCACCUCAAGUGGUCAGGAUGAUUAUUGGGCCUAAAGCAUCCGUAGCCGGCUCUGUAAGUUUUCGGUUAAAUCUGUACGCUCAACGUACAGGCUGCCGGGAAUACUGCAGCGCUAGGGAGUGGGAGAGGUAGACGGUACUCGGUAGGAAGGGGUAAAAUCCUUUGAUCUAUUGAUGACCACCUGUGGCGAAGGCGGUCUACCAGAACACGUCCGACGGUGAGGGAUGAGAGCUGGGGGAGCAAACCGGAUUAGAUACCCGAGUAGUCC